UAUUGAGCUGGCCCUAACAUUAGGCAGAGUAAGGUGGCAGGUGUUGGAGGGUAGCAGCUGUUUUCCCCGUCCAUUUCUGCUAAGCUGCCAUCCCAUUCCUUCUGAGCCAGCACCCCAGUUGCACUGAAGCUUCCUUCUUGCCGACCUGUCUUGAUGCCUGACCUGUGCUCCCUAACCUAGUUUCCGUCUCUCAUCUCCACUGCUGAAGUAAAGUCCAGCUGUCAGUUUGGUCCACUACGCCCCAGGUGAAGGAAGAAGGAAGUGGCGAUUGCAAUCUUGGUAUGCCCCCACCCAGGAUGUCACUGGGCAAGUGUAGAUGCACCCCCUAUUGCCACCUACAUCUGUUUUCAAAUGGAUACACUGUGGGGCGAUGCCAAAACAGCCAACCUAAUUUAAUGUGGCUCUGGGAAAGGGAACAGCAGAACCCACUCCAUUGGCUCAGCAGAAAGACCAGUUGUCAUUUGAUUCCUCCUCACUCUGAAUUCUUUCCACUGAUUCAAACCAGUCAUUAUAAGAACAUGGUCCCUUGGCAAACUGGUACAGUACCUUGAAUUUGUGUGUAUUCCUCUUCCGUCCCAAUCUGCUUUUCCUUUUGCAUCAUGUUUCUUACAUUGUAAGCUUACGGGCAAGGGACUAUCUUGCUCUCUACUGUUUUUUUUAAUCUCUCUGGGAACUCCCUCUUUUAUGCUGCAGAGAUGGGUAAAAAUGCAUUAAAUAUAUAAUGCAUUUUAAAUAAACAUCCACACAACUCCCUCUGAGUGUUGCUGUGCAGUAUGUUAGACUAGAGAAUAGCUCUUACUUUUCUGACUGUAGGUAAUUAGUGCUUUCUGGCUUUUGCAACAGCCACGUGAAAAAAGAAAAGG